rnacentral:rRNA from 1 species
GGAAUAUUGGACAAUGGGUGAAACCCUGAUCCAGCGACGCCGCGUGAGUGAAGAAGUAUUUCGGAAUGUAAAGCUCUAUCAGCAGGGAAGAAAGAAAUGACGGUACCUGACUAAGAAGCCCCUGCUAACUACGUGCCAGCAGCCGCGGUAAUACGUAGGGGGCAAGCGUUAUCCGCAUUUACUGGGUGUAAAGGGAGCGUAGACGGUGAAGCAAGGCUGAAGUGAAAGGCGGGGGCUCAACCCCCGGACUGCUUUGGAAACUGUUUGACUGGAGUGCAGGAGAGGUAAGUGGAAUUCCUAGUGUAGCGGUGAAAUGCGUAGAUAUUAGGAGGAACACCAGUGGCGAAGGCGGCUUACUGGACUGUAACUGACGUUGAGGCUCGAAAGCGUGGGGAGCAAACA